rnacentral:rRNA from 1 species
UUGUUGGUUUUAAAAGUCCAUUGGAGAUUAUGGGGCAGUGUGUGGCAGACUUCGGUCUUGCCUUCGCAUCUCACACGUGUCAUGCCUUCCCUCAACUCACGGCAUCCAGGAAUGAAGGAGGGUAGUUCGGGGGAGAACGUACUCGAAGAUGAUUAGAGACCAUUGUAGUCCACACUGCAAACGAUGACACCCAUGAAUUGGGGAGUUUUUGGUCGUAGGCGUGGUCGGGUUUGAUUACUUUUUCAUCCCGUUCCUCGUCUCGCCAAUGAAUAUCAAUUUACGUGCAUAUUCUUUUUGGUCCUCGUUUUUACGGCGAGGGCCUUUAACGGGAAUAUCCUCAGC